UUUUUUUUCUUUUGAAGUCCAGUCUAGAGAUUCUGGGAAGAUGGUAGUGACAGUGCCAAUGUAGUUUUUUUUAUCUUGUUUGAAUCCCCACAUUAAAGCAGACACAGCAAUUAAAUAGCAAAACCAAAGAUCCAUGUACAAAAUUAUAGCAAAAUCAGGCAGCAAUGUAUCCUCUGAUGCAAACAAAUGGAGAUAAACCACCAACAGCCACUAGAUACACAUGGAACACAUGUAUUAAUAUCUGCAUAGGACAAAGUACAGGGAAGCAAUUAGGAUUGUGUCUAAUGUUGACCAGAACCCUGAAAUAACUGUUAUGUACUAAGAAGCACAGUGGGCCAAUUUGAGACCCCCAGAUGCAACUAAGAAUGGGUUUAUCUGUCUCUAAUGCCAAGUGACUGAAAGGGUUGGAGUAGUUUAAUCUUUAUGAACCCUCAACCCUGAAAUGGGCUUUUUUUCAAUAAAGAAACCACACUGUGGAGAAACUCCUAGAAGUAGAAUGAAACUGAGUAACUUAAAGAAAAUUAAGAUUAAAAAAGAGAAAAUUAGACCCAAGUGGAGUGAGGAAGACAAUUAGAAAGUCUUAGGGAGCAGGCAGCCAUAUUUUUUAACAUUACAUAAAAAUAACAGAAGAGGGAGCUUUGUGACAUUAAAAAACUUUUCCUGAAUCCUGCCUCAUUCUAAAAGGUCAGGAUAAGUAAUUUCACAUAAGUAUGAGCAACAGAGAAGCAUCAAGGUUAAAUCCCAUACAAAAUUAUAAGAAAUGAGGUAAUGAGGAAUGUAACAUUUCUAGAGAUGAUGAAAGCAUGCCAGAAAAGUAUGGUCCACAAACAGAUCAACGUGGAACUUACCAUUUCAAAAUUGGUUCAAAGACAUUAAGAAAAGUAUACAGGAUAUGAAAAAAAUAACAUAAAUCAGAAUUUUUCAAGCUGAGACCUAAAUGAUAGAACUCAGGAAAAAAUAAAAAAUAAAAUAAAAUAUGGUUUAAGAAAUUAAGACUAAAAUAGAAGAAUACUGUGUGGAAAAAAACACACAGCAAAUGAAUUAAAGGAAAUAGGAGAUUAAAAGGAUUUUUCUUAAAUCAGAGGAAAUAAAGAUAUUAAAAAGGGUUCAAGAGAAAGUGACAAAUACAAAGAUGGACAUAGAAGAUAUAACAUACAGAUACUAGAAAUCCCUGAAGAAUAAAACCAGAGCUAAAGAAUAGAACAAGUACAAACUUUUUUAAUUUUUAAAAAAUCUCCCCUGAAAUUAAAAAAAUUGAAACCACACAUUGAAAAUCAUAUUGUCUGACAUUAUUGACUUAAAAUGACCAAUACCAAGAAAAAUCCUAGCAAAGUCAAUAAACUUUAAACAAGAAGGGGAAAGAAAUCCUUUAGGCAUCGAAUAAAAAGAGAUCAUGUAACUUAUAAAGGAAAUAUAUUAGAUUUAUACCAGACUUUUAACAGCAAUAUCUUAUUCCUAAAGAAAAUAGAUAACAUCACUAAGAUAUUUAAGGUAUGAGCAACGAUUUUCAUAUUUAUUAAAACUGACUUUAAAGAAUACCAGACACAGAUGAACUGUUGCCAACAUACAAGAAGUAAUGGAAUACUAUCCCAAAGAACCUUUCCUGAGAAAUUUACUACAGAAUAAGUUUCAAACAACCUAAAGGAAUAGAGCUCUAAGACUAAAUAAGAGUUUGAGGGAGAUAUUAUAUUAUGUAAUAGAUGGGUGCUCUGAUAAUGUAGAUAACCAUAAUGUAGAUUAAAAUGUGAUCAGAAUGACAAGAAAUAUGUCACAUAUUAAAAACCUACAGAAAAUGUAUGUUUCAUGAUAAAGCAUUCAAUUUGAAGUCAUGAACAAGUCAGAGACGUCCCAUUAUCCAUUUCUGUUCAACAUUAUACCAGGACUCAAACAAGUACAAAAGUUUAAAGGCAAAAAAUAUACUAAAUAAAAAUUAUUUUAA
rnacentral:lncRNA from 1 species